rnacentral:rRNA from 1 species
AUUGAACGCUGGCGGCAGGCCUAACACAUGCAAGUCGAGCGGAGCGGCGGACGGGUGAGUAAUUCCUCGGUAUCUGCCUGGUAGUGGGGGAUAACGUCCGGACACGGGCGCUAAUACCGCAUACUAUCAGAUGACCCUAGGUCGGAUUGGCUAGUUGGUGGGGUAAAGGCCUACCAAGGCGACGAGCCGUAACUGGUCUGAGAGGAUGAUCAGUCACACUGGAACUGAGACACGGUCCAGACUCCUACGGGAGGCAGCAGUGGGGAAUAUUGGACAAUGGGCGAAAGCCUGAUCCAGCCAUGCCGCGUGUGUGAAGAAGGUCUUCGGAUUGUAAAGCACUUUAAGUUGGGAGGCGUUACCAACAGAAGAAGCAACGGCUAACUUCGUGCCAGCAGCCGCGGUAAUUG